rnacentral:rRNA from 1 species
UUGGGUUAGUCCCGCAACGAGCGCACCCACGUUUUUAGUUGCCAUCAUUCAGUUGGGCACUCUAGAGAGACUGCCGGUGACAAACCGGAGGAAGGUGUGGAUGACGUCAAGUCAGCAUGCCCCUUACGUUCUGGGCUACACACGUACUACAAUGCUUCGGACAAAGGGCAGCAAGUUCGCGAGGACAAGCUAAUCCCAUAAACCGAGGCUCAGUUCAGAUUGCAGGCUGCAACUCGCCUGCAUGAAGGCGGAAUCGCUAGUAAUCGCAGGUCAGCAUACUGCGGUGAAUACGUUCCCGGGCCUUGUACACACCGCCCGUCACACCAUGGGAGUUGGCCACGCCCGAAGUCGUUACUCCAACCCGCGAGGGAGGAGGAUGCCGAAGGCAGGGCUGAUGACUGGGGUGAAGUCGUAACAAGGUAACCA